UAAUCCAAUUAAAAUUUUAUUAAUUAUAGCAAGUAGAAUAUGAGCAAAAACAGCGCUGGACGACAGGGGAGUCUGCGCUCCGCCACUGCCGUGCUGAGCAGUUCAAACAGUCCCUUUUUAUACAUCUUUACUUCCGUGUUCAUGAAGUAGUGGAGGUACUCUGCGCAUGCUUCAGUUGUGGUUAGGGGGUCGUUUUCUACCUCCUGGUGGUCGUUGAGGCCGAAGUAAGAAGUCUUCCUCCUUUAUCCCAUAGUUGACCCCUCAUUCACAUGUCCUUAUCUGGGGUUGUUUGUCCUGUUUCUGUCGGUUCCUGGAAGUCUGGCGGUUAUCUCGCGAUUGUGGUUAUCUUAUCUUACUCAAGCAGUGUCCGAGUUUCUGUCUGCAUAAGCGAUUUCACAUCUUUGUUGCCUAACCUUUACAUUGAGCUUAACAUAAAUCUUAAUAAACAAUAUACUAGUCCAUAGUUUCUCACAAUCCCCCCUUUUUCUUUUUAUCCUAUUAUUGUUUAUUAGACGUUACUUUCAUUUUCGGCACUGCGAACAAACCUAAUCCCAACAUUUAUCAUAACACUCACAAGGUAAUACCUCACAAUUACAAAAGGCAUAGUUCUCGCGUGGCAUAAUGCAUUCACAACAAUCUUCAUCUUCAUUAAUAGAUACACUCUUAUAUUUUGCCCCAGACCUCGUAGUUAAAAUAAGCAGUUUAGCUAUGUCAAACCGUUCUUUAAUAAAGUGUAAAAAUAUAGCGUAAUAUACAAGGCCCAAAUAUGAGUCCCAAAAUCAACAUGAUAAGCGGUCCUGCUAAGGCGGACAACAAAGUGGUUAGCCAAGGUGAAACAUUAAACCAGUUUUCGUACCAUGACUUGCCCGCCUCACGAUCUUUCUUACGUUGAUCUAACCUUUUCCGGAGUUCAGACAUGGUGUCCUGGACUACUCCAGUAUGGUCAGCAAAAGAGCAACAUUCUUCAUUGAGAGCUACACAUAACCCUCCUUCCUUUAAAAACAAUAGAUCUAAUCCUCUUCUAUUUUGCAACAAUAACAAACAUAAAAUACACUUUAUUAAAGAACGGUUUGACAUAGCUAAACUGCUUAUUUUAACUACGAGGUCUGGGGCAAAAUAUAAGAGUGUAUCUAUUAAUGAAGAUGAAGAUUGCUGUGAAUACAUUAUGCCACGUGAGAACUAUGCCUUUUGUAAUUGUGAGGUAUUACCUUGUGAGUGUUAUGAUAAAUAUUGGGAUUGUGGAAAAAGGUUUGUUCGCAGUGCCGAAAAUGAAAGUAACGUCUAAUAAACAAUAAUAGGAUAAAAAGAAAAAGGGGGGAUUGUGAGAAACUAUGGACUAGGAUAUUGUUUAUUAAGAUUUAUGUUAAGCUCAAUGUAAAGGUCAGGCAACAAAGAUGUGAAAUCGCUUAUGCAAACAGAAACCCGGACACUGCUUGAGUAAGAUAAGAUAACCACAAUCGCGAGAUAACCGCCAGACUUCCAGGAACCGACAGAAACAGGACAAACAACCCCAGAUAAGGACAUGUGAAUGAGGGGUCAACUAUGGGAUAAAGGAGAAAGACUUCUUAUUUCGGCCUCAACGACCACCAGGAGGUAGAAAACGACCCCCUAACAACAACUGAAGCAUGCGCAGAGUACCUCCACUACUUCAUGAACACGGAAGUAAAGAUGUAUAAAAAGGGACUGUUUGAACUGCUCAGCACGGCAGUGGCGGAGCGCAGACUCCCCUGUCGUCCAGCGCUGUUUUUGCUCAUAUUCUACUUGCUAUAAUUAAUAA
rnacentral:lncRNA from 1 species